rnacentral:rRNA from 1 species
AAAGCGUGCGCAGGCGGUUUUGUAAGACUGUCGUGAAAUCCCCGGGCUCAACAUGGGAAUGGCGAUGGUGACUGCAAGGCUAGAGUUUGGCAGAGGGGGGUAGAAUUCCACGUGUAGCAGUGAAAUGCGUAGAUAUGUGGAGGAACACCGAUGGCGAAGGCAGCCCCCUGGGUCAAAACUGACGCUCAUGCACGAAAGCGUGGGGAGCAAACAGGAUUAGAUACCCUAGU